CUCCCCUUUCAUAGAUCAGUUUAUUACUUCUUUUAAUUAAUUUCAAUAAAUUUCUUGAUUUCUAAUUUCGUAGAUCAAUUUAUUGCAUUCCAGUAGAUCAAUUUAUGGCUAUGUCUGGUUUGUCUAUAUGGUUGCAACACCACCACCGCUGCUCAUCAUCACCACUGCCGCUGUUGAUGCAAAACCCACUUCAUGCUCAAACAUAAUGUGUUCAAGGAAAGCUUCAAACCUGGCCAUAAUGAAAAUGAAGAUGUUCACUCAGUGAGGAAAUCUACAGCAGAUCUGGCCAUAGAGCAAAUGAAGAUAUUCACUUGAUAGUGAGGAAAUCUACAGC